GUCGAACGGCAGCACGGACUUCGGUCUGGUGGCGAGUGGCGAACGGGUGAGUAAUGUAUCGGAACGUGCCUAGUAGCGGGGGAUAACUACGCGAAAGCGUAGCUAAUACCGCAUACGCCCUACGGGGGAAAGCAGGGGAUCGCAAGACCUUGCACUAUUAGAGCGGCCGAUAUCGGAUUAGCUAGUUGGUGGGGUAACGGCUCACCAAGGCGACGAUCCGUAGCUGGUUUGAGAGGACGACCAGCCACACUGGGACUGAGACACGGCCCAGACUCCUACGGGAGGCAGCAGUGGGGAAUUUUGGACAAUGGGGGAAACCCUGAUCCAGCCAUCCCGCGUGUGCGAUGAAGGCCUUCGGGUUGUAAAGCACUUUUGGCAGGAAAGAAACGUCAUGGGCUAAUACCCCGUGAAACUGACGGUACCUGCAGAAUAAGCACCGGCUAACUACGUGCCAGCAGCCGCGGUAAUACGUAGGGUGCAAGCGUUAAUCGGAAUUACUGGGCGUAAAGCGUGCGCAGGCGGUUCGGAAAGAAAGAUGUGAAAUCCCAGAGCUUAACUUUGGAACUGCAUUUUUAACUACCGAGCUAGAGUGUGUCAGAGGGAGGUGGAAUUCCGCGUGUAGCAGUGAAAUGCGUAGAUAUGCGGAGGAACACCGAUGGCGAAGGCAGCCUCCUGGGAUAACACUGACGCUCAUGCACGAAAGCGUGGGGAGCAAACAGGAUUAGAUACCCUG
rnacentral:rRNA from 1 species